rnacentral:rRNA from 1 species
UACGUAGGGUGCAAGCGUUGCCCGGAUUUAUUGGGCGUAAAGGGCGCGCAGGCGGCUACGCACGUCCGUUGUGAAAUCGCUCGGCUCAACUGGGCGGGGUCGGCGGAUACGGCGUAGCUGGAGCAAGCUAGGGGGCAAUGGAAUUCCCGGUGUAGUGGUGGAAUGCGUAGAUAUCGAGAGGAACACCUGCGGCGAAGGCGGGUUGCUGGGCUGAUACUGACGCUGAGGAGCGAAAGCUAGGGGAGCGAACGGG